rnacentral:rRNA from 1 species
UAAUGUCUGGGAAACUGCCUGAUGGAGGGGGGAGUAAACUACUGGAAACGGUAGCUAAUACCGCAUAACGUCGCAAGACCAAAGAGGGGGACCGUCGGGCCUCUUGCCAUCGGAUGUGCCCAGAUGGGAUUAGCUGUUAGGGUGGGGGUAACGGGCUCACCAAGGCGACGAUCCCUAGCUGGUCUGAGAGGAUGACCAGCCACACUGGAACUGAGACACGGUCCAGACUCCUACGGGAGGCAGCAUG